rnacentral:rRNA from 1 species
GACGAACGCUGGCGGCGUGCCUAAUACAUGCAAGUAGAACGCACAGUUUAUACCGUAGCUUGCUACACCAUAGACUGUGAGUUGCGAACGGGUGAGUAACGCGUAGGUAACCUGCCUGGUAGCGGGGGAUAACUAUUGGAAACGAUAGCUAAUACCGCAUAAUAUUAAUUAUUGCAUGAUAAUUAAUUGAAAGGUGCAAUUGCACCACUACCAGAUGGACCUGCGUUGUAUUAGCUAGUAGGUGAGGUAACGGCUCACCUAGGCGACGAUACAUAGCCGACCUGCGAGGGUGAUCGGCAUCACUGGGACUGAGACACGGCCCAGAACCCUACGGGAGGCAGCAGUAGGGAAUCUUCGGCAAUGGACGAAAGUCUGACCGAGCAACGCCGCGUGAGUGAAGAAGGGUUUCGGAUCGUAAAGCUCUGUUGUAAGAGAAGAACGGGUGUGAGAGUGGAAAGUUCACACUGUGACGGUAUCUUACCAGAAAGGGACGGCUAACUACGUG